GACGAACGCUGGCGGCGUGCUUAACACAUGCCAGUCGAACGGAAAGGCCCUGCUUUUGUGGGGUGCUCGUGUGGCGAACGGGUGAGUAACACGCGAGUAACCUGCCCUUGACUUUGGGAUAACUUCAGGAAACUGGGGCUAAUAUCGCAUAGGAGCUCCUGCUGCACGGUGGGGGUUGGAAAGUUUCGGCGGUUGGGGAUGGACUCGCGGCUUAUCAGCUUGUUGGUGGGGUAGUGGCUUACCAAGGCUUUGACGGGUAGGCGGCCUGAGAGGGUGACCGGCCACAUUGGGACUGAGAUACGGCCCAGACUCCUACGGGAGGCAGCAGUGGGGAAUAUUGCACAAUGGGCGGAAGCCUGAUGCAGCAACGCCGCGUGCGGGAUGACGGCCUUCGGGUUGUAAACCGCUUUCGCCUGUGACGAAGCGUGAGUGACGGUAAUGGGUAAAGAAGCACCGGCUAACUACGUG
rnacentral:rRNA from 1 species